rnacentral:rRNA from 1 species
GAUGAACGCUGGCGGCGUGCCUAAUACAUGCAAGUCGAGCGAACAGAUGAGGAGCUUGCUCCUCUGACGUUAGCGGCGGACGGGUGAGUAACACGUGGAUAACCUACCUAUAAGACUGGGAUAACUUCGGGAAACCGGAGCUAAUACCGGAUAAUAUAUUGAACCGCAUGGUUCAAUAGUGAAAGACGGUUUUGCUGUCACUUAUAGAUGGAUCCGCGCCGCAUUAGCUAGUUGGUAAGGUAACGGCUUACCAAGGCAACGAUGCGUAGCCGACCUGAGAGGGUGAUCGGCCACACUGGAACUGAGACACGGACCAGACUCCUACGGGAGGCAGCAGUAGGGAAUCUUCCGCAAUGGGCGAAAGCCUGACGAAGCAACGCCGCGUGAGUGAUGAAGGUCUUCGGAUCGUAAAACUCUGUUAUUAGGGAAGAACAAAUGUGUAAGUAACUAUGCACGCCUUGACGGUACCUAAUCAGAAAGCCACGGCUAACUACGUG